rnacentral:lncRNA from 1 species
ACUCACGCGGAGCCAAUCGGAACUCGCGGCGGGGUUGCUGGGUCUUCCAGGAUCGCGCAUUAGCGGACGCUGGCUACGGGUGGCCGGGCGGGAUGUAACCGGCUGCUGAGCUGGCAGUUCUGUGUCCCCAGGCUUCGGCCCGGCCGCCGCCGCACAUAAACUGCGAGGAGGAGCUUUACGACUUCUCGGUCUUCGGGGCCGGGCGCAGCAAGGGCCAGACUCUGCGCUAGCAGGCGCUGCGCGCCAACCGGCCGGCCCCUGUCGCAGAAGGUGCAACCGAUCGCACUGUCGCGCAGAAGCUCCUCAAUGGCCAGCGCCAGCUGCAGCCCCGGCUGCCCACUCGCCUCACCUGAGCCUGGGUGGAACAAUCCAAAGUUUUAAUCAAAGAAGGUGGUAUUCAGUUGCUGCUUACAAUAGUUGAUACCCCAGGAUUUGGAGAUGCAGUGGAUAAUAGUAAUUGCUGGCAGCCUGUUAUCAAUUACAUUGAUAGUAAAUUUGAGGACUACCUAAAUGCAGAAUCGCAAGUGAACAGAUGUCAGAUGCCUGGUAACAGGGUGCACUGUUGUUUAUACUUCAUUGCUCCUUCAGGACAUGGACCGUUACAUAACUGAAGACUCCCACCUUCAGGCAGGAUUGGGUAGUACAUGUUUGUAACUACCUGGCAUUGCCUUUUGUUGAGACUUAAACCAUUGGAUAUUGAGUUUACAAAGCAUUUGCAUGAAAAAGUGAAUAUCAUCCCACUUAUUGCCAAAGCAGACACACUCAUGCCAGAGGAAUGCCAACAGUUUAAAAAACAGAUAAAGAAAUCCAAGAACAUAAAGUUAAAAUAUAUGAAUUUCCAGAAACAGAUGAUGAAGAAGAAAAAAAACUUGUUAAAAAGAUAAAGGACCAUUUACCUCUUGCUGUGGUGGGUAGUAAUACUAUCAUUGAAGUUAAUGGCAAAAGGGUCAUAGGAAGGCAGUAUCCUUGGAGUGUUGCUGAAGUUGAAAAUGGUGAACAUUGUGAUUUUACAGUUUUAAGAAAUAUGUUGAUAAGAACACACGCAGGACUUGAAAGAUGUUACUAAUAAUGUCCACUACGAGAACUAUGGAAUCAGAAAACUGGCAGCUGUGACUUAUCAUGGAGUUGAUAACAAGAAGAAUAAAGGGCAGCUCACUAAUAGAGACGGUAUUUCACCAUGUUAGCCAGGAUGGUCUUGAUCUCCUGACCUCGUGAUCCACCCGCCUCGGCCUCCCAAAGUGCUGGGAUUACAGGCAUGAGCCACCACGCCCGGCCAAGUGGAAUGAAUUUUCAAGAGCAUUGAAGUUACCAUAAGGGGCCUAGAAAUACUCUGUAUACCUAUAUAGUGCUCUAGGAGCCCUCUGGCACAAAUGGAAGAAGAAAGAAGGGAGCAAGUAGCUAAAAUUAAGAAGAUGGAGAUGGAGAUGGAGCAGGUGUUUGAGAUGAAGGUCAAAGAAAAAGUUCAAAAACUGAAGGACUCUGAAGCUGAGGUACAGCGGACCUUCCUGGCAUCAGAAAAAGGCCUCCAGAAAAAGAGACACAGGAACUGAUUUCAUCUGAAAUUGAAGAGACAAUCAGAGAAAAACUAUAGACCACUCAUGAUGGUUGUUAUAUGUGCUUGGCUGGGCCAUGGGUCCCAGUGUUUGGUGAAACACAGCAGCAGAUGUCCCUGUGAGUAGAUGUUGCUUUGAAGGUAUCUUUUAGAUGUGAUGAACAUUUGUCAUCAGUAGACUUUGAGUAAGGCAGAUAGCCCGUCACAAUGUGGAUGGGCCUUAUCCAAUUAGUUGAAGGCCUUUGAAAAAAGACUGAGAUCCCAAACGAAGAAGGAAUUCUGCCUCCAGACAGCCUUCCAACUCAAGUAGCAACAUAACCUCCUCCCUGCGGCUCUAGCCUGCUGGCCUUUCCUAUAGACUUCAGACUUGCCAGCCCCACAAUCAUGUAAGCCAAUUCCUUAAAAUAAAUUCUCUGUCCUGUUUUUGCCCCCUCUCUCUUUCUGACAGCACACACAUGCCCUCUUGGUUCUGUUUCUUUGAAGAACCCCAGGAAAACACACAAAGGAAAAACAACUCGAUAGACAGAAGAUUCUUCAAUGACAACAAUGGAAGCCAUCUUCACCAUUCAACUAAACUUGAAUGGGAUAUUAUCAAACUUAAAAAAAAAUUAUCAACUGAUCGUGUAAUCAGUUUCAUCUUUUAAGACAGGAAAUGAAAUAAAGUAUUUACAGAUGAAUGUAAAAU